AUUGAACGCUAGCGGCAUGCCUAACACAUGCAAGUCGAACGAGUGGCGGACGUGUGAGUAAUCUCUCGUAAACUGCCUGAUGGACGGGGAUAACUACUGGAAACCGUGGCUAAUACCGCAUACCAUCGGAUCUGCCCAUAUGGGAUUAGCUAGUAGGUGGGGUAAAGGCUCACCUAGGCGACGAUCCCUAGCUGGUCUGAGAGGAUGACCAGACAAAUGGGAACUGAGACACGGGCCAGACUCCUACGGGAGGCAGCAGUGGGGAAUAGUGGGAAAUGGGCGCAAGCCUGAUGCAGACAUGCCGCGUGUAUGAAGAAGGCAUGCGGGUUGUAAAGUACUUUAGGCGGAGAGGCGUUAACUGGAGAAGAAGCACCGGCUAACUACGUGACAGCCGCCGCGGUAAUUC
rnacentral:rRNA from 1 species